CGACGAGAUCGGGCGCCUGCCCGACGCGGUCGUCGCCUGCGUCGGCGGCGGCUCCAACGCCAUCGGCAUGUUCGAUGCGUUCCUCGACGAC
rnacentral:tRNA from 1 species